UACGAAGGGGGCGAGCGUUGUUCGGAAUUACUGGGCGUAAAGGGCGCGUAGGCGGCGUGCUAAGUCGAACGUGAAAUCCCCGGGCUCAACCCGGGAACUGCGUCCGAGACUGGCAUGCUUGAAUCCGGGAGAGGGAUGUGGAAUUCCAGGUGUAGCGGUGAAAUGCGUAGAUAUCUGGAGGAACAUCGGUGGCGAAGGCGGCAUCCUGGACCGGUAUUGACGCUGAGGCGCGAAAGCCAGGGGAGCAAACGGG
rnacentral:rRNA from 1 species